rnacentral:rRNA from 1 species
UGGGGAAUAUUGCACAAUGGGCGAAAGCCUGAUGCAGCAACGCCGCGUGAAGGAAGAAGGGUUUCGGCUCGUAAACUUCUAUCAACAGGGACGAAGGAAGUGACGGUACCUGAAUAAGAAGCCCCGGCUAACUACGUGCCAGCAGCUGCGGUAAUACGUAGGGGGCAAGCGUUAUCCGGAAUUACUGGGUGUAAAGGGUGAGUAGGCGGCAUGGUAAGCCAGAUGUGAAAGCCUUGGGCUUAACCCGAGGAUUGCAUUUGGAACUAUCAAGCUAGAGUACAGGAGAGGAAAGCGGAAUUCCUAGUGUAGCGGUGAAAUGCGUAGAUAUUAGGAAGAACACCAGUGGCGAAGGCGGCUUUCUGGACUGAAACUGACGCUGAGGCACGAAAGCGUGGGGAGCGAACAGGAUUAGAUACCC